UACGAAGGGGGCUAGCGUUGCUCGGAAUCACUGGGCGUAAAGGGUGCGUAGGCGGGUCUUUAAGUCAGAGGUGAAAUCCUGGAGCUCAACUCCAGAACUGCCUUUGAUACUGAGGAUCUUGAGUACGGGAGAGGUGAGUGGAACUGCGAGUGUAGAGGUGAAAUUCGUAGAUAUUCGCAAGAACACCAGUGGCGAAGGCGGCUCACUGGCCCGGAACUGACGCUGAGGUGCGAAAGCGUGGGGAGCAAACAGG
rnacentral:rRNA from 1 species